CUGAGAUCCCCCAGCGAAUUUGCUUGCCCUCCUGUAGCCACGCCCCCGGUAGCUGGUGCAAGAGACCUCAGUUGUCAGCACUGGUGGGAGCGGUAGCCGGGAGUUCCGCGCCGCGAGUCCUGCGCCACUCCUGGUUCCCUCGGUCUGGUUAUUGCGUUCACAGGAGAGCUGGGAGUGGCCCUUAAGGUUUCCCCCGCUGUGUGGAGAGAGAUGGCUAGGGGAUUACACACCUGUCGCGCUGGUUUCACUGCAGUUAUCUCCUCCGCCCAUGACGCCAUUUCUCUGCCAUGGUGAUAUCCCAUGCAAAUGGUGACCGUUUGUUCCCUUUGCCGGAUGACCAAAUCAAC
rnacentral:lncRNA from 1 species